rnacentral:rRNA from 1 species
GGUUAAGCGACUAAGCGUACACGGUGGAUGCCCUGGCAGUCAGAGGCGAUGAAGGACGUGCUAAUCUGCGAAAAGCGUCGGUAAGGUGAUAUGAACCGUUAUAGCCGGCGAUGUCCGAAUGGGGAAACCCAGUGCAAUUCGUUGCACUAUCGUUUGAUGAAUACAUAGUCAAACGAGGCGAACCGGGGGAACUGAAACAUCUAAGUACCCCGAGGAAAAGAAAUCAACCGAGAUUCCCCCAGUAGCGGCGAGCGAACGGGGAGCAGCCCGGAGUCUGAAUCAGCUUGUGUGUUAGUGGAAGCGUCUGGAAAGUCGCAGGGUACAGGGUGAUACUCCCGUACACUAAAACACACAGGUUGUGAACUCGAAGAGUAGGGCGGGACACGUGGUAUCCUGUCUGAAUAUGGGGGGACCAUCCUCCAAGGCUAAAUACUCCUGACUGACCGAUAGUGAACCAGUACCGUGAGGGAAAGGCGAAAAGAACCCCGGCGAGGGGAGUGAAAAAGAACCUGAAACCGUGUACGUACAAGCAGUAGGAGCCUCUUUAUGGGGUGACUGCGUACCUUUUGUAUAAUGGGUCAGCGACUUAUAUUCUGUAGCAAGGUUAACCGUAUAGGGGAGCCGCAGGGAAACCGAGUCUUAACUGGGCGUUAAGUUGCAGGGUAUAGACCCGAAACCCGGUGAUCUAGCCAUGGGCAGGUUGAAGGUUGGGUAACACUAACUGGAGGACCGAACCGACUAAUGUUGAAAAAUUAGCGGAUGACUUGUGGCUGGGGGUGAAAGGCCAAUCAAACCGGGAGAUAGCUGGUUCUCCCCGAAAGCUAUUUAGGUAGCGCCUCGUGAAUUCAUCUUCGGGGGUAGAGCACUGUUUCGGCUAGGGGGUCAUCCCGACUUACCAACCCGAUGCAAACUACGAAUACCGAAGAAUGUUAUCACGGGAGACACACGGCGGGUGCUAACGUCCGUCGUGAAGAGGGAAACAACCCAGACCGCCAGCUAAGGUCCCAAAGUCAUGGUUAAGUGGGAAACGAUGUGGGAAGGCCCAGACAGCCAGGAUGUUGGCUUAGAAGCAGCCAUCAUUUAAAGAAAGCGUAAUAGCUCACUGGUCGAGUCGGCCUGCGCGGAAGAUGUAACGGGGCUAAACCAUGCACCGAAGCUGCGGCAGCGACACUAUGUGUUGUUGGGUAGGGGAGCGUUCUGUAAGCCGUUGAAGGUGGCCUGUGAGGGUUGCUGGAGGUAUCAGAAGUGCGAAUGCUGACAUAAGUAACGAUAAUGCGGGUGAAAAACCCGCACGCCGGAAGACCAAGGGUUCCUGUCCAACGUUAAUCGGGGCAGGGUGAGUCGACCCCUAAGGCGAGGCCGAAAGGCGUAGUCGAUGGGAAACAGGUUAAUAUUCCUGUACUCGGUGUUACUGCGAAGGGGGGACGGAGAAGGCUAUGUUGGCCGGGCGACGGUUGUCCCGGUUUAAGCAUGUAGGCGGAUGUUCCAGGUAAAUCCGGAACGUUAUUAACGCUGAGGUGUGAUGACGAGGCACUACGGUGCUGAAGUGACAAAUGCCCUGCUUCCAGGAAAAGCCUCUAAGCAUCAGGUAACAUCAAAUCGUACCCCAAACCGACACAGGUGGUCAGGUAGAGAAUACCAAGGCGCUUGAGAGAACUCGGGUGAAGGAACUAGGCAAAAUGGUGCCGUAACUUCGGGAGAAGGCACGCUGAUAUGUAGGUGAAGUGGUUUACCCAUGGAGCUGAAAUCAGUCGAAGAUACCAGCUGGCUGCAACUGUUUAUUAAAAACACAGCACUGUGCAAACACGAAAGUGGACGUAUACGGUGUGACGCCUGCCCGGUGCCGGAAGGUUAAUUGAUGGGGUUAUCCGUAAGGAGAAGCUCUUGAUCGAAGCCCCGGUAAACGGCGGCCGUAACUAUAACGGUCCUAAGGUAGCGAAAUUCCUUGUCGGGUAAGUUCCGACCUGCACGAAUGGCGUAAUGAUGGCCAGGCUGUCUCCACCCGAGACUCAGUGAAAUUGAACUCGCUGUGAAGAUGCAGUGUACCCGCGGCAAGACGGAAAGACCCCGUGAACCUUUACUAUAGCUUGACACUGAACACUGGUCCUUGAUGUGUAGGAUAGGUGGGAGGCUUUGAAGUGUGGACGCCAGUCUGCGUGGAGCCAUCCUUGAAAUACCACCCUUUAAUGGCUGGUGUUCUAACGUGGGCCCCUAAUCGGGGUUGCGGACAGUGUCUGGUGGGUAGUUUGACUGGGGCGGUCUCCUCCUAAAGAGUAACGGAGGAGCACGAAGGUCAGCUAAUCCUGGUCGGACAUCAGGAGGUUAGUGCAAUGGCAUAAGCUGGCUUGACUGCGAGCGUGACGGCGCGAGCAGGUGCGAAAGCAGGUCAUAGUGAUCCGGUGGUUCUGAAUGGAAGGGCCAUCGCUCAACGGAUAAAAGGUACUCCGGGGAUAACAGGCUGAUACCGCCCAAGAGUUCAUAUCGACGGCGGUGUUUGGCACCUCGAUGUCGGCUCAUCACAUCCUGGGGCUGAAGUAGGUCCCAAGGGUAUGGCUGUUCGCCAUUUAAAGUGGUACGCGAGCUGGGUUUAGAACGUCGUGAGACAGUUCGGUCCCUAUCUGCCGUGGGCGCUGGAGAAUUGAGGGGGGCUGCUCCUAGUACGAGAGGACCGGAGUGGACGCAUCACUGGUGUUCGGGUUGUCAUGCCAAUGGCAUUGCCCGGUAGCUAAAUGCGGAAGAGAUAAGUGCUGAAAGCAUCUAAGCACGAAACUUGCCCCGAGAUGAGUUCUCCCUGACUCCUUGAGAGUCCUGAAGGAACGUUGAAGACGACGACGUUGAUAGGCCGGGUGUGUAAGCGCAGCGAUGCGUUGAGCUAACCGGUACUAAUGAACCGUGAGGCUUAACCUU